CCUACGGGCCGCAGCAGUGGGGAAUAUUGCACAAUGGGCGGAAGCCUGAUGCAGCGACGCCGUGUGAGGGAUGACGGCCUUCGGGUUGUAAACCUCUUUCAGCACGGAAGAAGCGAAAGUGACGGUACGUGCAGAAGAAGCGCCGGCUAACUACGUGCCAGCAGCCGCGGUAAUACGUAGGGCGCAAGCGUUGUCCGGAAUUAUUGGGCGUAAAGAGCUCAUAGGCGGUUUGUCGCGUCUGCUGUGAAAGCCCGGGGCUUAACCCCGGGUGUGCAGUGGGUACGGGCAGACUUGAGUGCAGUAGGGGAGACUGGAAUUCCUGGUGUAGCGGUGAAAUGCGCAGAUAUCAGGAGGAGCACCGAUGGCGAAGGCAGGUCUCUGGGCUGUUACUGACGCUGAGAAGCGAAAGCAUGGGGAGCGAACAGGAUUAGAUACCCGGGUAGUC
rnacentral:rRNA from 1 species